CAUAAGAGGUGGCUUCUUGUACCACUUACAGAUGGGACCGCGGCCCAAUAACUAAUUGGGGAGGGAAAGGCUCUACCAGGGCAACAAGCCUAACCCAACUGGAAAGGUGAACCGCCCACCUGGGACUGAAAACCCGGCCAAAAUCCUAACGGAAGGCACCAUAAGGAAUCCUUCGCAAUGGACGAAAGUCUGGACGAAGCAACGCCGCGGAGUGGAUGAAGGUCUUCGAAUCGUAAACUUCUGUUAUUAGGAAAAAACAUACCUGUAAGUAAAUAUGCGCGUCUUGACGGUACCUAAUCAGAAAGCCACGGCUAACUACGUGCCAGCAGCCGCGGUAAUACGUAGGUGGCAAGCGUUAUCCGGAAUUAUUGGGCGUAAAGGGCGCGUAGGCGGUUUCUUAAGUCUGAUGUGAAAGCCCCACGGCUCAACCGUGGAGGGUCAUUGAAAACUGGAGAACUUGAGUGCAGAAGAGGAGAGUGGAAUUCCAUGUGUAGCGGUGAAAUGCGCAGAGAUGGGAGGAACACCAGUGGGAAAGGCGACUUUCUGGUCUGUAACUGACGCUGAGGAGCGAAAGCGUGGGGAGCAAACAGGAUUAGAUACCCUGGUAGUCCACGCCGUAAACGAUGAGUGCUAAGUGUUAGGGGGUUUCCGCCCCUUAGUGCUGCAGCUAACGCAUUAACCACUCCCCCUGGGGAGUACGGUCCCAAGACUGAAACUCAAAGGAAUUGACGGGGGCCCGCACAAGCGGUGGACCAUGUGGUUUAAUUGGAAGCAACGGGAAGACCCUUACCAGUUCUGGACAUCUUUUGACAAUCCUAGAGAUAGGACGUCCCCUUCGGGGGCAGAGUGACCGGUGGUGCCUGGUUGUUGUCAGCUUGGGUUGUGAGAUGUUGGGUUAAGUUCCGCAACGAGCGCAACCCUUGAUGUUAGUUGCCCGCCUUCAGUUGGGCCCUUUAAGGUGGCUGCCGGUGGCAAACCGGAGGAAGGUGGGGAUGACGUCAAAUCAUCCUGCCCCUUAUGACCUGGGCUACCCACGUGGUUCAAUGGACCGAACAAAGGGCAGGGAAACCGCGAGGUUAAGCCAAUUCCACAAAUCUGUUUUCAGUUUGGAUCGCAGUUUGCAACUUGGCUGCCUGAAGCUGGAAUCGGUUGUAAUCGCGGAUCAGCAUGGCGCGGUGAAUACGUUUCCGGGCUUUGUACACCCCGCCCGUCACCCCCCGAGAGUUUGUAACCUCCGAAGUCGGUGUAGGU
rnacentral:rRNA from 1 species